rnacentral:rRNA from 1 species
AGUGAACGCUGGCGGUAGGCCUAACACAUGCAAGUCGAACGGCAGCACAGUAAGAGCUUGCUCUUACUGGUGGCGAGUGGCGGACGGGUGAGGAAUACAUCGGAAUCUACUUUUUCGUGGGGGAUAACGUAGGGAAACUUACGCUAAUACCGCAUACGACCUACGGGUGAAAGCAGGGGAUCUUCGCACCUUGCGCGAUUGAAUGAGCCGAUGUCGGAUUAGCUAGUUGGCGGGGUAAAGGCCCACCAAGGCGACGAUCCGUAGCAGGUCUGAGAGGAUGAUCAGCCACACUGGAACUGAGACACGGUCCAGACUCCUACGGGAGGCAGCAGUGGGGAAUAUUGGACAAUGGGCGCAAGCCUGAUCCAGCCAUACCGCGUGGGUGAAGAAGGCCUUCGGGUUGUAAAGCCCUUUUGUUGGGAAAGAAAAGCAGCAGGUUAAUACCCCGCUGUUCUGACGGUACCCAAAGAAUAAGCACCGGCUAACUUCGUG